UAGUCGGGCCUAAGGGAAUGGCGAAAGCCGUACUCGAUGGACACAGGGUUAAUAUUCCCUGACUUUUAUGUUUUGUGAUGGGAUGACGGAGGGUAGUAUGUAUCGCUCAUUAUUGGAUUUGAAGUUCGUGUCUUGAUUGUGUUGUGUAGGAAAAUCCGCACAAUGUCUUAAAUGGCACAUGAAAGAGAAGCGAAAAGUUUUAUUCUUCGGGAUAGAAUAAUGAUACAAAGCACGCUUCCAAGAAAAAUCUCUAAACUUAAAAAUGUAAGAUCCGUACCGCAAACCGACACAGGUGAUCAGGUCGAUUAGACCAAGACGAACGAGUGAGUGGUCCCCAAGGAACUCGGCAAAAAAGCAGCCGUAACUUCGGGAUAAGGCUUCCCCUUUGUUAACUCAAAGGGGCGCAGUGAAAGUAUCUCUGGCAACUGUUUACCAAAAACACAGCUCCCUGCGAACUCGCAAGAGGAUGUAUAGGGGGUGACACUUGACCAAUGCCAGAAGGUCAAAUAUCGACGUUGCUAUGUCGCAAGAUGUAGUGGUGAUUGAUAUAAGCCCUGGUGAAUGUCGGCCGUAACUAUAACGGUCCUAAGGUUCUGCACACAACGCAAGUUAUGCGCGGAAUGACUGGGACUGUUAUAGAGUAAAGGUAAACAAUUAAAUUAAAAAAUUAUUAGAUUAUUCGAAUGCUACCUGCUUCACAGUAAUGUGAAGACAGUCAAAACUUGGCUAACGAGAGACCAGCGUCAAGCAUCCUAACCCUCGGGUGGAUGAAGAUAGAGUCCUUCUUAGGUAUAGAAGAGCGAAAUACCUUGUCGGGUAGAAAACUGCCCAUCCGAAGAGUGAUCCUCGGAUUAAAUCUGGCUUAUAACGGUGGAGCCCUUUGUAACAUAAUGCGCGUACACAAAGGGGAAUACCGUGGGAAGUCGUUCUGUCGCAAGUAGGCAGAAUUGACCCCGUAACGACUUAGGUCGCCUAUGUAUAAUGGCGACUAAGAUGGAAAUGUGAUAUACUUUCCAUAAUAUGCCGGCUCUCAAAACAAAACGCAAUAUACAAGAAUAUAUUUCUGGAUAUAUAGAUGGAGAAGGUUGCUUCAGUAUUUCAUUUUCAAAACGAGAUAAAUUUCUCGUCGGUUGGGAAACUAAACCAAGUUUUUCAGUUAGUCAAAAUGAAGACAGAGCGCAAACCCUUUUCUUGAUGAAAAGAACUUUCAAAUGUGGAUUCAUUAGGCGAGAUUUUUCAGACAAAACACUUAAAUACGAAGUGCGAAGUCUGGAUGAUUUGAUCCGUCAUGUAAUUCCUCAUUUUAAAAAAUAUCCAUUGGUUUCAGCUAAACAAAGAGAUUUUAAAUUUUUUGAAAAAGUCUGUUUAUUGAUGCAAAAACAAUUGCAUAAAAACAAAAAUGGACUAGGAAAAAUUAUGAAUCUUGCGUUUCAAAUGAACCCAAGCGGUAAGCGGAAAUAUACGAAAGCGGAAAUGCAAAAAGCGUUGAGAUGAAGAUAUAGUCUGAUCCCUCUUGUAAAAGAGGAUAACAAAUUUGAAGUUCCGACGCGCACGAAUAGUGUAAUGACUGGAGAACUGUCUCGGGGACCAGCUCGGUGAAAAUACAAUACCGGUGAAGAUGCCGGUUAAGUGCAGUUAGACGAAAAGACCCUAUGAAGCUUUACUAUAACUUUAUAUUGAGCAUAUUUUUGGACUGCGUAGAAUAGAUGGGAGGGGUCUGAUGUGUACGGUUUUGGCUGUACUCUACCCAACAGUGAAAUACCAUUCUUUUUGAGGAUAUGUUCUAACCAAAACGGCAAAAACGUUUUGAGACAGUAUAUGGCGGAUAGUUUUACUGGGGCUGUACCCUCCUAAAAAGUAAAGGAGGGGUUUAAAGGUCAGCUAGGCGCGAAUGGAAACCGUGCCGAUAGUGUAUGAGCACAAGCUGGCUUGACUGUAAGACGUACUUGUCAAGCAGGUGGGAAACCAGAAUCAAGUGAACCGACCACCCGUGUUAGACGCGGUGGAAGAUUAACGGAUAAAAGCUACUCUAGGGAUAACAGGCUAGUUCCGCCCAAGAGUUCAUAUCGACGGCGGAGUUCGGCACCUCGAUUAACACCGAAUGUCGAGGAGAGAGUACGAACAGUACUCUCAUGUGUAUGAUGAAAAUCAUGCACACUAAAUCAGCUCAUAACGGAGAAACCCAUAUCGCGGAACAAUGAUAUAAUUGUUUAAAUAUGGUCAACACCGUGGGAAGUUUAGAAAGUAAAUAUUGGAAUAAGAAAAUGCUUUCUUUGAAAAAAGAAAUGCGACUUACCUCCAAACAGCGAUCUUUUAUUAUUGGAUCGAUGUUAGGAGAUGCAACAAUGCGAGUUGGUAUAAAAGCAAAAAAUGCCAAUUUUAAAAUUGAUCAUUGUCUGGAACAGAAAGAGUAUGUGUUUUGGAAAUACGAAAUCUUAAAAAAUUUAGUAUUAACUCCUCCACGACUUAGUUAUCGUACGACAAAAGAAGGAGUACGGUAUAAAAAAUCAUGGUGGUUUAGAACACUACGCCAUCCUGUUCUGACAGAAAUAUAUAAUCAAUUUUACACAACUGAUUCAUAUCGUUGUGGUCGAAAAAUUGUUCCCGAUUCUCUUGUUGAGAGUAUGAAUCCUUUUAUCGUGGCUAUUUGGGUCAUGGAUGAUGGAUCGUACAAUCAAGGAAAAAUCGACAUAAGUACAUAUUCCUUUACUUUGCAAGAAAUUAAGAAGCUUUGUUUUAUUAUAAAAAAUAAAUUUAAUAUAACUAUGCUCUAUCAUAAAGAUAGGGAUAAGGGAUAUAGAAUAUAUUGCAAUAAAACAGAAACUAAAAAACUUGUAAACCUAAUUUGUCCUUAUAUCAUCAAAACAAUGAGAUAUAAGAUAGGACUUUUAUAACCCCGUAACGACUGGAGUCUUGCAACUUGCAGGACAAAGAUAGCAAUUUGCUAUAACACGCUGGUAUCUUAGAACAAAUCUAAAGAUAAAGGUAUAGUCUGCGCCACUAGUAAUAGUGGGUUUACACAUCCAAUUUGGAUGAAUGUAUGUAAUAUUGUGGUCGGCUCACCUUAGCGCGGCGGCGAAGAAGCUGCCAAGCGUUUGGCUGUUCGCCAAUUAAAAAGGUACGCGAGCUGGGUUCAGACCGUACAGAAGUGGAAAGUAGAAAGUUCAUAAAGUUCAUAAAGUAAAAAGCAAAUGCAUUUUGUAUUUGUUUCCAACUUUAUAACUUUACACUUUAUAACUUUUAACUGUUGUACCGUUUGAACCCUCAGAGGAAUUUGAACUUAAUGAACUUAAGUAAUGAACUGUUUUAAUCGAAAUCAAUCAUAAGCCUGUGGGCUUAUCACGGCGGCUCUAAAUUAUUAUAUUUAGGGAAAAGCUGGGGUUUUCGGUGAAAUCCAACAUCAUGAAAAUGAUAGGACAACACCGAGAAGAAAUUUUAAUUUUUCUUUGUAGAGACUACAAACCAGCCUUCAGCCUUAGGCUGAAGAAUGUAUAGUCCGAUCCUCAUAGGAAUAUGAGAAAAGUUUUACUGAAGAGUAAAACUGUAGAUGCGUGAGACAGGUUGGUCUCCUAUCUACUGCACUCGUUGAUUCUUGAAAAGAUUUGCUUCUAGUAAGCCCGGAAGGGCUCAUGCUACUUCGUGAAGAAAUUCACGAUGACAAUGUGGCUAAUAACGGUGGAGUCUUCAUUUAUGUUUCUAGUUCGAUGAAAAAUAAUAUCAUUCGAUCCUAGAUAUUAUGAUUCGCUUGAGGACCAGAAAUGUGGUAAGAUAAUACCGUGGGAAGUCGUGUAAUAAUUAAAAUAUGAAAAUAAAAGAGAUUCCGCAAGCAAUAUUGAAUUACGAUUUAACCAAAAGAAGAAUAUUUUGGAUAAUAGUAAUCGUAAUAGUAUUUAUAGCUUUGCUUGGUAAUUAAUUUCAGAGUAACAAGAGAAUAAAAAAUUAUUAUAUUGACCCCGUAACGACUUGUUUCUCCGGCAUAGGCUGGGGAACGGACUUGCAUAACGCUGGAAAGCCUCGAUAAACAUCGGGAUAGGCUUAUGCUUGUAAUACGCCAACAUCCUCCUUUCAGUUUGAAAAAGGAUGAAGAUAUAGUCUGCACUCCUAGAAAUAGGGGAUAUAAUGUGACGAGAGGACCGAAGUGAACUGACCUCUGGUGUGUGAGCUGUCCUGCCAAGGGCACUGCUCAGUAACUAUGUCGGGAUUGGAUAACCUCUGAAAGCAUCUAAGAGGGAAGCCAGCUUUAAGAUUAGGAAUCGUUAAGAACCGUGAGAGAUGAUCACGUUGAUAGGCUUUAAGUGUAAGGCAAGUAAUUGCUUGAGCUGAGAAGUACUAAUGUUUCGA
rnacentral:rRNA from 1 species